GAUGAACGCUAGCUACAGGCUUAACACAUGCAAGUCGAGGGGAAACGACAUCGAAAGCUUGCUUUUGAUAGGCGUCGACCGGCGCACGGGUGAGUAACGCGUAUCCAACCUGCCCAUCACUUGGGAAUAACCUUGCGAAAGUAAGACUAAUACCCAAUGAUAUCCCACGAAGGCAUCGGAAUGGGAUUAAAGAUUUAUCGGUGAUGGAUGGGGAUGCGUCUGAUUAGCUUGUUGGCGGGGUAACGGCCCACCAAGGCAACGAUCAGUAGGGGUUCUGAGAGGAAGGUCCCCCACAUUGGAACUGAGACACGGUCCAAACUCCUACGGGAGGCAGCAGUGAGGAAUAUUGGUCAAUGGGCGAGAGCCUGAACCAGCCAAGUAGCGUGCAGGAAGACGGCCCUAUGGGUUGUAAACUGCUUUUAUAAGGGAAUAAAGUGGGUCACGUGUGACUUUUUGCAUGUACCUUAUGAAUAAGGACCGGCUAAUUCCGUG
rnacentral:rRNA from 1 species